UCCACCUCCACCCCAUCGAUAGUGAGCCUAAAUUCUUCGAGUUUACCAGAAUUCUGGGCACAGUUUUGAGAUACUUGUGCAGGGAAUUUAGUAGUAGGUUUAAGGAAAGUGUUUCUUCAUUUUGUAGGAGUAGUGGAGAAGUUGAAAGAUAUUGCAUAUCAUCUUCUGUACCUAUUUGAUUCAAAUAAAUUGACUUGAGUUGCACAUUCAAACCUGGGGGGCUCAGGUUUUAAUAUUGACAAUUCUCAAAGCGAGGUAAAUGUAGAGCUGGGCCCAUGAAAUUUGUUGAAACAUGUAAAUUUUCUUGUCAUGAGUUAUUGCUAAAAACUAUUUGAUAUAUGCAAAGAUGGCUUCGUCCUGUUAACAACAACAAAUUACAAUAUAAUGGCAAUUAAGAGGCAGUAGGGGUGUUGAAAUCAGAAUGCUAAAAUCUAAAUUCAUCGGUGUUGCGUAUGGGCCAUUUGGACCAUGGUAUUAUUGAAUCCCGUUUGGUUGUAAUUUGUGUAAAUGUGUUACUUCUACACGUGCCGUUGUUGAUCCUUUGAUGCAAAGAGUUCAGCUAAAUGUUAAUUGGCAUUUUUGUUGUUGUUAGCUCCUGAGAAGAAAUCCAGAACGACGCCUGGGAGCAAGUGAAAGGGAUGCAGAAGAUGUAAAGAAACAAGCAUUCUUUCGAGCUGUUGAUUGGAUUGCUUUGUUAGCAAAGAAGGUAAAGCCCCCAUUCCAGCCCAUAAUUCAAGACAGAGAAGAUGUCAGUAACUUUGACGAAGAGUUUACCUCAGAGGCACCAAUUCUUACACCACCACGAGAACCAAGGGUUCUAGUUGAUGAGGAACAGGGAAUGUUCAAGGAGUUUGAUUACAUAGCAGAUUGGUGUUAAAUGCAACAAGAACAUUUCUAUGGAGUAGAAACUGUGAAUUCAUAGCUGACUGUAGCUUACAGCAAAGCCCUCUUUGCGACAAAUGAUGGAUACUUUCCAGCCUUUUACUGCAGUCUGUGCCAUCUGUAGUCCUCCAAAUUCAUUCACGCAACUGAAGCUUCCUGAAAGAACAACAGCACAGUGAGAAGUGGCAACUUUGAAUCAUUCACCUUCAGGACCAUUGGGAAAAUGUUUUUGUUUUGUCCUAUGUAUAUCUUUGAUUUCUUCUGCAGUGCUCAGUCUGGCUGAUGCCAAGAUUUACCAGUGUAAAUUUGCACUGUUAGUUCUUGGCAAAUGCACUAUAGAAACUCUUCUUUCUAUAGUCCGUUCACUUUAUAAAUUGUAAUUAUUGCCUUAAUUAGGAGAGGGUGUUGCUAGAAUCAUUCCUUGGGCUGAAUUGAGAACUGUUCUUUUUUCUCUAUGCCACAUUACCACUUCAGUUUGAGGUGCUAUCAGCUGAUGAUACUACAGUAUGGUCUCACCUAGCAUAAGGCAGCUACUGUCUUGACUGCUGAUAAUAAAAAUAAUUACUGUGUGUGGCCAAACAAUGUGCAUUUUAAACAAACUGAUUAUCCUGCACAAUAUUUGGUCCCAGAUAAUGAUUUUAAAAGCUAGUUUGAUGCCUUACCUUAAUGUUGUAAAUUUUCAUUGUAUUUAUUAUGUAGAAUUGCAAUAUGCCUUAACAUUGUGAGAGAGCACCAAGUGCUUCCAGACAUUUUUUUUGCAGGUACUGAAAGCCUACCAAAGCCACUUGCCAAACAGUGACGUCGCCUCCCUGCUCCUGGAAUUAUAUGUAAAAUGUUGGGCGCAGCCUAUUCAGUUCACGAAGAGGAGAAAGUCGGUGUUUUUUUUUUACAUGUUUUGUCUGUAAGUUUUGGGUCUUUAAGUGUGAAGAACUAGUCAUUGAGAUUCUGCUGUUUCUCUCACUUCUGAAAUUUCAGUAACCAAGAUUAUUAUUUUUGAUGUACCAUGAUCAAAGAACACAGGAUUCUAUAGUUUGUAUACCAUUUAGUCAGUGGGUCAUUUCUUCUUAUCUGCUGUACAUGACGACAAUACUCUCAGCUUCUAUGUUUUUAUGGAAAUGUAUAUGUGCUGUCAAUGUACGUUUGAUAUAGUAUUUUAGUUUACAUUCACACACGAUUUAUAAUGUUCACAUUUAAUACACGGUGGCCAUGUGAAAAUGUGUUUUUUAAGUGUAGCUGGUCAAUAUGAUUUCUAACUGGGCCAUCACAAUGCAUGGAUCAUGCUAUGACUCAGCUACCCUCUACAUUCUGUUAAUAAUGGUUUGUAUAUUUUAAGUUUAAAAAAAACCCCUUUUUGCUAACCACAGCAGGCCCCAUGUCAAAAACUGCACUAAUAGCAACCACAUAAGCUACUGUUACCCAUUCCUCGUUGCUUACCCUGUCCUUUUAUGUCACAAAGAUGGCAAUAGCAAUAAAUACUACAAUAUUUCAAACAGCAAAUGUACAUUUUUAUAAAGACCAGUACAUGUAAAUAAGCAGGAUUAAUAAAUGAAAGUUUUAAAUAGUUUUUUAAAAAAGUAAACGGCUAGAGAGGUCUGUUUCCAAAGUGUAUAGAAAGAAGAAACUUUUUUUUUAAAAAAAGAGAAAAUUAAAUCACUAAUGUGUGUUAGAGGGCAGGGUGGAAGUACAGAGAUGAGCUCAAAAGCACUAAUUUUAUCUCUGACAUUUUUUAAACAAAUGUUUUAGUCUAAUUUCAAAUUGAGAAUAUUUUACAUUGUACAAUAUAUAUUCAUUAUAAAGUGGCUGCUUAAGAACUUUGUAAGGAAAUAAGAAGGCAUGUUUUGGAAUGGUACAAUACUAUGCAUUUACAUGUGCCCAGCAGAGUACUGUAUAUGGUUGAGAAACACUGAAAAGGGUUUUGCAGUCAAUACGUAUAAAUGCACAAAAUUAAAACCUUUUAAGUAGGG